UGGGGAAUUUUGGACAAUGGGCGAAGGCCUGAUCCAGCAAUGCCGCGUGUGUGAAGAAGGCCUUCGGGUGCUAAUAGCACUUUUGUCCGGAAAGAAAUCCUUGGCUCUAAUACAGUCGGGGGAUGACGGUACCGGAAGAAUAAGCACCGGCUAACUACGUGCCAGCAGCCGCGGUAAUACGUAGGGUGCAAGCGUUAAUCGGAAUUACUGGGCGUAAAGCGUGCGCAGGCGGUUUGCUAAGACCGAUGUGAAAUCCCCGGGCUCAACCUGGGAACUGCAUUGGUGACUGGCAGGCUAGAGUAUGGCAGAGGGGGGUAGAAUUCCACGUGUAGCAGUGAAAUGCGUAGAGAUGUGGAGGAAUACCGAUGGCGAAGGCAGCCCCCUGGGCCAAUACUGACGCUCAUGCACGAAAGCGUGGGGAGCAAACAGGAUUAGAUACCCUGGUAGUCCACGCCCUAAACGAUGUCAACUAGUUGUUGGGGAUUCAUUUCCUUAGUAACGUAGCUAACGCGUGAAGUUGACCGCCUGGGGAGUACGGUCGCAAGAUUAAAACUUAAAUGAAUUGACGGGGUCAUAGCUGUUUCCU
rnacentral:rRNA from 1 species